UACAGGGGGUGCAAACGUUGCUCGGAAUUAUUGGGCGUAAAGCGCGCGUAGGCGGCUACUUAAGUCGGAUGUGAAAGCCCUUGGCUCAACUGAGGAAGUGCACCCGAAACUGAGUGGCUUGAGUACCAAAGAGGGUCGCGGAAUUCCCGGUGUAGAGGUGAAAUUCGUAGAUAUCGAGAGGAACACCUGCGGCGAAGGCGGGUGCUGGGCUGAUGACUGACGCUGAGGCGCGAAAGCUAGGGGAGCGAACGGG
rnacentral:rRNA from 1 species